rnacentral:tRNA from 1 species
GCGGACAUAGCUCAGUUGGGAGAGCGUCAGACUGAAGCGGGCUUCAUGACCGGAAAACUUCAAUCAAUCAAUCUGAAGGUCGUGUGUUCAAUCCACACUGGCCGCA